rnacentral:rRNA from 1 species
UACGAAGGGGGCUAGCGUUACUCGGAAUCACUGGGCGUAAAGGGUGCGUAGGCGGGUUUUUAAGUCAGGGGUGAAAUCCUGGAGCUCAACUCCAGAACUGCCUUUGAUACUGAAGAUCUUGAGUUCGGGAGAGGUGAGUGGAACUGCGAGUGUAGAGGUGAAAUUCGUAGAUAUUCGCAAGAACACCAGUGGCGAAGGCGGCUCACUGGCCCGAUACUGACGCUGAGGCACGAAAGCGUGGGGAGCAAACAGG